rnacentral:rRNA from 1 species
GACGAACGCUGGCGGCGUGCCUAAUACAUGCAAGUCGAACGAGUGGCGGACGGGUGAGUAACACGUGGGAACCUACCCAUCAGAGGGGGAUAACUAGUGGAAACGGUAGCUAAUACCGCAUACCAUCAGUUGCGCCAAGAUGGGAUUAGGUAGUUGGUGUGGUAACGGCUCACCAAGGCGACGAUCCGUGGCUGGUCUGAGGGCUGGACCAGCCACCCUGGAACUGAGCCACGGUCCCACCUCCUACUGGAGUAAGCAGUGGGGCAUUUUGGGCAAUGGGCGCAAGCCGGAUGCAGCCAUGCCGCGUGUCUGAGGCAGGCCUUCGGGUUUUAAGGUCCUUUCAGCGGGGAGGCGUUACCCGCAGAAGAAGCACCGGCUAACUCCGUGCCAGCAGCCGCGGUAAUUC